GACGUGGGGUGUGGCUACAAGGCGACGACGGGUAGCCGGCCUGAGAGGGUGACCGGCCACACUGGGACUGAGACACGGCCCAGACUCCUGCGGGAGGCAGCAGUGGGGAAUAUUGCGCAAUGGGCGGAAGCCUGACGCAGCGACGCCGCGUGGGGGAUGACGGCCUUCGGGUUGUAAACCUCUUUCAGCAGGGACGAAGCGAGAGUGACGGUACCUGCAGAAGAAGCACCGGCCAACUACGUGCCAGCAGCCGCGGUAAUACGUAGGGUGCAAGCGUUGUCCGGAAUUAUUGGGCGUAAAGAGCUCGUAGGCGGUUCGUCGCGUCGGCUGUGAAAACCUGAGGCUCAACCUCAGGCCUGCAGUCGAUACGGGCGGACUUGAGUUCGGCAGGGGAGACUGGAAUUCCUGGUGUAGCGGUGAAAUGCGCAGAUAUCAGGAGGAACACCGGUGGCGAAGGCGGGUCUCUGGGCCGAAACUGACGCUGAGGAGCGAAAGCGUGGGGAGCGAACAGGAUUAGAUACCCUGGUAGUCCACGCCGUAAACGUUGGGCGCUAGGUGUGGGGCUCAUUCCACGAGUUCCGUGCCGCAGCUAACGCAUUAAGCGCCCCGCCUGGGGAGUACGG
rnacentral:rRNA from 1 species